GAUGAACGCUGGCGGCGUGCCUAAUACAUGCAAGUCGAGCGAACGGACGAGAAGCUUGCUUCUCUGAUGUUAGCGGCGGACGUGUGAGUAACACGUGGAUAACCUACCUAUAAGACUGGUAUAACUUCGGGAAACCGGAGCUAAUACCGGAUAAUAUUUUGAACCGCAUGGUUCAAAAGUGAAAGACGGUCUUUCUGUCACUUCUAGAUGGAUCCGCGCUGCAUUAGCUAGUUGGUAAGGUAACGGCUUACCAAGGCAACGAUGCAUAGCCGACCUGAGAGGGGGAUCGGCCACACUGGAACUGAGACACGGUCCAGACUCCUACGGGAGGCAGCAGUAGGGAAUCUUCCGCAAUGGGCGAAAGCCUGACGGAGCAACGCCGCGUGAGUGAUGAAGGUCUUCGGAUCGUAAAACUCUGUUAUUAGGGAAGAACAUAUGUGUAAGUAACUGUGCACAUCUUGACGGUACCUAAUCAGAAAGCCACGGCUAACUACGUG
rnacentral:rRNA from 1 species